GCCCCAGCACCGCCAGCACAGAGCCCGACGCGGGGCUCAAACUCACGAACUGUGAGAAUCAUGACGUAAGCUGAAAACAAGAGCUUAACUGGCUGAACCACCCAGGCGCCCCAUUACCACAUCUUCUUUAUCCAUUCAUCCAUCGAAGGACACUCAGAUUGAUUCCAUGUGUUGACUACUGUAAAUAAUGCUGCAGUGAACAUAGGGUGCAUGUCUCUUUUCAAAUUCGUUUUUUUGUUUGUUUGUUUGUUUGUUUGUUUGUUUUCUUUGGAUAAAUAUCCAGAAGUGGCAUUGCUGAAUCAUAUAGUAGUUUUACUUUUAAUUUUUGAGGAACUUCCAUGCUGUUAUUCAUAGUGGCUACACCAAUUUACAUUCCCACCCACAGUGCCCGAAGGUUCUCUUCUUCCCAUAUCCUUAUAAACACUUGUCAUUUCUUGUCUUUUUGACAAUGGCCAAUGGCCAUCCUAACAGGUAGGUGUAAGGUGAUAUCUGUUGUGGUUUUGAUCUGUACCUUCCUCGUGACUAAUAAUGCUGAGCAUUCUUUCAUGUACCUGUCGGCCAUCUGUAUGUCUUUUCUUUGGGAAAAAUGUCGAUUCGGAUCUUAUGCUCAUUUUUGUUUGCUGCUGAGUCGUAGGAGUCCCUCGUACAUUUCCGAUAUUAGCUCCUUAUAUUCGUUACCAAUUUAUUUCUGCUCUUUAAACUUAGCACAUCAUGAAUAUUUUACCAUGAUGGUAGGGAUUUUUCUGUAAUGUGAUUUUUAAUAUCUGUGUAAGGUAUUAUCACAUGGACGUAUCACACGGUGAACUUACGUGAGGGAUUGACCGUAUUUUGUUUUCCGGGUAAGACCUGUUGAAAGCUAUGCACAUCAGCCCAGCUUUCUGGGAGCAGACAAAACAACUCCCAAGAAAUUUCCCAGUUUGAAGAGCUUGGCCGUACUUACCACACGGUGAUGUUUGGGCACCACGGGCCCAUGGUUUCCAAAUUCCUGAGUGACUUUGGGUAUUUCAGUACUUUCUCCCUCUGAGGAAGCCAGGUUGUCUCCUCUCCGUUUGAUUUCUGCAGCUGGGUUCGCACAGCUUGGCCCUGUGACUGGCCAGAAGCCCUCCACUCUUCCCCACUCAGCCAUGGAACGAAGGGAAAGCCACAGACAUUUCCAGCAGAGUUCGUAGAGCCUUCGAAGGGGUUUUGCAUUUACCAAAGAGAUUCUUCGGAAUUUUGGAACGGCCAACAUGAAAUCAAUUCCUACAAGACUAACAAAUCAGGAGAGAAUGAGGAAAGAUGCCCAGAGAAAUGACCUUAGGUCAUGGCCAGGUCCUUAAAGUGCCUCCUGAAUCAUCAAAGAAAGAUUCCAUUACUGCCAAGAUGGUUAUAACGUCAGGUUCAAUUUAUUAUGUCUGGAUGCCUUGAAAAUUAAUCAUUUAAGUGAAUCAUUUAUAGGAGAAUAAAGAAGAGAUGACCUUGAAGAUCUAAAUCCAUGCUAUUUAGCCUUAAAGUCUGUAUGAGCCUCGAAGUCACUGAGUUUAGCGUCUCCAGAUGAAGAGAAUAGUUUCCAGAAAGAAAAAGACUUAUCUAAGGUAAUGUACCACCACUUGCUAAUUCUGGGUCAGCUGCCUUUCCUCCACCAGCAUUGUUAUGCCUGUUCAUCUUAUUGAUAAAACUUUGUUUCAGUUCUGGAAAAGGCGCUUUCAUUUUUUUUAAUGUUUAUUGAUUUUUGAGAGAGAGAGAGAGAGAGAGAGAGACAGAGCGUGAGUGGGCGAGCGGCAGAGGGAGACACAGAAUUUGAAGCCAGCUCCGAGUCCUGAGCUGUCGGCACGGUCUGACAUGGGGCUUGAACUCAUGAACCACGAGAUCAUGACCUGAGCUGAAGUCGGACACUCCACCAACUGAGCCACCCAGGCGUCUCUGAAAAAGACACUUUUAAAGUUAACUCCUGAAUGCAAGUAAAUAAUGAAGAUCGGUUGGGGCAGCAUUGAAAAGUGGGCACUUAACGUAAUGGUGAGUGAGCAUUGCUCGCAGUCCCAGAAAUCUACUCCCUCUCCUGUCUCUGACUUGCACUCCAAUUUUGACAAUUCGUUUCAUCUUUCUAGACCUAGGGGUCCUCAUCUAUAAACUGAGGAGCUUGUAGUAGGUCGUUGCUUCUCAACGCAUUCGUCAGAGCCCCAGACGUUCCAUGGGUGCCUUGAGCCCUGAUGGCCUGGGGAAGGGGCUGAAAGAGGGAAAAGGGGGCAGGGCUCUGGGCCCUUCCUCUGCUUCUACCUGAGCAGACCCCUUGGGUCUGUUUUAUGUAUUUGGUUUUCAUGGAAGCUUUUAUCUCAACCACAAGAUUCUGUGGUUAAAUGUGUGAGAACCACUGGACUGAACUUCUCUAGCCUUUCUUUUGGCAAAGUGUUUUUUUCUGCCUCUCUGAUUAUAGAUGUUCUUUCAGAGACUCAUUUGGACAGGCUCAAAUUUAUAUGCCGUUGAGCUCUUUGGAGUUCCUAUAAAUUAGGAUGCACAUCGAGAUAAUUACCAUUCUGGAAUUCUAAGCACUUAAAUACAAGUCAAUCCUUAUAACCCCCUUUUAAACCAAUUGCCUCACUGCAGACAUGGUCACUGAAUAUAUAUUAUCGAAUGCCAAUAAAACAGGAAACCCGAUCCUGCCAUUUUCCCGAUUGGAGCGUACAGAGGGGUUAAAGCCAGAGUCUCAGCCGUCAUUCUGACGGCAGGAUCUUGCUUCUCUGGACAGUCUAACUUUGGUUGUCAGGCCAGACCCAGGGGCAGACCCAGCGCCUUCCAUCCCGUCGGCUCUGUAGAGUCAUGGAGUGGACCAGCUUGUAAUCCCUUGCUUUUGGGAAAGAAACUGGCUUUCUUCUGUGGCCAACUGUGUCUACCAAUCGCUAAAGGAAACAAUAGACCCAGGGCAAGCACUACUCUCAAGCGGUGGCCCCGGGAGGGCGCAGGUCAGCGUCCGAGCCCGGCACUAAGGCAGCCGAGGCCAGUCAGUGGUGGAUCCCAAAAGACCACAGAGAUGGCUUCUCCAGGGCACACCUGCUCUGAAAAGGAGUAUGGGGGCCCGGGGAACCGAGGCAGAGAAUGGGUUUAGGACUCUGUAGAAUCAGAACGAACUUCAUAGAAGAGCCUUAGAAAUGUUGUGGGGAAGCACAUGGAAAAACGAAAAGCCAGACAAGUGACACUCCUUGCUCAGGUCACCCUUAGGUCACAGUAUUUCACUUCUUCCAGUCUACACCGUGAGCCCUCAGGCCUCUCUCCACAGGGGCUGGGCACGUCAAUGAGGUGACUGACAGAGGAGUGUUUCCCCGAAGGCAAGGGUGACUGACAGAGGAGUGUUUCCCCGAAGGCAAGGAGCCUUCGGGAAGGGAGGGUGAGGGGACGGCGUUUUCCCACCGGGAGCCAUUGCUCAACAGGCAACAGCCAGAACCCAGACCAAAUUCAUCACCAUGUGAGACUCUCAACCCCACCCCGGACUACUACGGACUCCAGAGAAUAGCCAGUGUGUGCGCGAAUUCCCUCCUGCCUCCCUUGGCUGUCCGCCUGAGCCAGUCUGUGCCCGUUAAGUUCAUCUUCAGUUAAAACUGUGACCACACCCCGAACCCUCAGUCCUUGGGCCACCUCUGUACUGAAGCGCUUGCUGUGCGUAUCCGGGAUGGAGCAUCCUGCCCUUUCUGAGGUUGACAGGCUGUGACGAUUCUGAUAGGGACCGGGAAGUCACACAUAUCAUUUACUUCCGUAAAUAGUCAUCCCAUUAAUAAGCAUCCACCGAGAGAAGACGGUUCCUUUGCAGACUCCCAGGCCACAGGCUUCGGUUUCCGGAAAAUGCAGAUCGGGACAGCAGAUGAAAUAAAGCCAUCACCAGCCCACAGGACAGUCUCAAGAGGAGUGACUGUCCCUGUCCUCUGCAGUUGUUGCCAGAGAGCAAUUUGCCCUUGAAUCCAAUCUACCAUCCCUAAACUGACAAUUUCAUUUCCCUCCCAGCCCACCCCCUGCCCCGAAGAUCUGCUGAAGCCGCGAGUUCCAGCUGAAGAGCCGGCAAGAUAAUAGUGACUUUCACACUUCAUCUGCCCGUUAUCGCUGAACCCCCGAACCCCGCUUUGCGAGGGUAAGAUGUCAUUGAAAGGAAUGUAGCACAAUCUACUGUUGCAGGAAGGAACGACCACAAAGCACGUGGUUUGUGUGAUGUCUAACGGAUGUCAGGAACUGCUCCAAGAUACAAAAUACUCUUCAGUGCUUCCCUGAGUUUGCUGUGGGCCUCGGGGUACCUCAAGCCACAGUUCGGGAAUCGUGGGCUUAAACACAGAAGGUCCAGAAUUAGGGACCUACUGAUAACGCCAAAGGGGCAGCUUCUUAAGAUUUCCAUCUUCCUAACAAGGGCAUUCAGAUUUCAAAUGUUUAGGCGACUCCGAAGUUGAGUAAUUCAGAAUCUGUGUAGUUAAGCUAACUUGUUGAAACCGAUGAAUUUUAAGGAACCACUUGGGUUCUCUUUCCUGGGUAACAGAUGAGAAGCAACGAGAUCUCCUCCCUUCAGCCUCAGGGAUGCUGGAGCUAUGAGUUGCAGGGUGUCUUCAAGACAUUGACACUUGCCUUGGAGAGUCAUUCGUGGAGAUCGAGGGAAUGACAUAAUACGCAGGGAACGCAUCUAUGCCACCAGAGUUUCCCAUGUCAGCCCACGCUGGUCAAGAAAGGCAGAGAAUAGUUUCAUUCCAAGCUUAAGCCAAUAUUCUUGCCACUACACCAGGGCGCUGCCCAAUAUGACGGGAAAUAUUACACGAAUGGUAAAAAUGUGAGCUAAGCCCACCCCAUCUCCAAACCCAAAAAGCUUCCGAGACCCCUGAAGUUAAAUGGAACUAACUCAUCGACACGGUCUCCAAAGCAACUUCUUAUUUAGUUCAGAACUUUCUGUGUGACCCCAAUCAGGUAAAUUUCUAGCUCUUUGUUUCCUUAAAUAGAGCACUGUAGAAGAAGAAGUCACUGUUUUUCUCUAAAGCUACUUAGCAAAUUGCAAAUGAAAGAGAAAAUACACAUGCAA